UGAUGCAGCCCCGGAACCUGGUUGGCUUUCUGGGCUGGACAAACACGAACCCGCCCAAGUGGCAGAAGGGAAGCAUUGCAUCAAGGCACUCGCCAGACUGACUGCCUUCCACAGAAGUGCCUGGGAUCAGGUAUUGCAUGGAACAUCCAACACAUCUGAUGCAAAAAAACUGUCUGAAUGUGCCCCUGAACACUGCCUACCCCAGAAGGAUGAAAAAAAUGACCUCUGAGUGGCUGAAAGUAGUGAAUCCUGUCCCACUCUAACUGAGGAGCAGUGCCUUUCCAUGGUGGUCAACAGACCAUUUCCGGACCCACGCACCAUCCUGCUCCUGACAACAAUCUCACACAUGGAGUUGGAAUGUAACCGUGGACAGCCUGAAAUGUUUCUAAGCUUGCAGAAACAGCUUGUGGCCAUGCAACCCUGCUUGGAAACGAGGAGCUUGUCUUAUUUGUAUGGAGUGAUGAAAGAGCUGUUCUACGCUUUUGCCUUGCUGAAGCCUUUACAUAAAGGGGUGUCAGAGGAGUGAUCUUCCCCAGUGGUUUCCUAUCUCAUUGGGUCACAGCUCUGUGUGGAUUUAGGACUGGCAGAUGGCCUCUGCACCUCACUGUGAUGACUUCAUUCUGCUGUCUGCAAAGGUCCCCCUUCAUUGCCUCUGCACAGAGUUACUUUGCUGUCAGAAUGGUCCCCUGCUUACUACUGCUACCCUGUUGGGUGCUGAAAGUCAGCAUCUGAAGUCCUUCGGAUCAGUUAGCUGUUUCCUGCAGUGAGAUCUUCCUUCAGGACAAAGCUUUGCUCUGUCAUGUUGUGAUGCCGCCUCCAGUUCUGUCAGCUUUCACAGCUCAGAGUGUGCGCUGCUGCUGAAGGAGCCGUGGAGCUGUGACAGCCUUCCCACCAAUUCAUGCAUCAGCCUGGAAGCAGCCUCAUGAGCCACCAGCAGACAAUUGGAUUCAUAACACACUGAAGGAAACAGCAACAUUUUGUUUUUUCCUGUUAGAUGGAGAAAUGAAAACUAAAAUUUGAGAUGUUUUUGCAGCCAAAGUUGGUUAUAGGAAAGCCAGUAAAUGUGUUCCUACGUUAGAGAGAAAAAUAGCAGAAUUUGAAAAGUUUCCAAGUCUACAUUCUUCUUGUUGGUUUUCUAUGACAUUUUAACUAUGAUAAAGAAAUCAAUAUGCUUUCUAUGCUUCAGUGUGAUUUUUUGUUUGACAUCUCCAAUAACCAUCAAACGAAUACAUGAUCCUGAGGUACUCCCAGCCUAAACACGUUGUGGUUCUGCACAGGAAGGGAUGAGUGCUACUUGUUUUUAGUCCUCCUCAAGGCUGCUAUGCAACAGUUCAUCAGUGAAGAAGGAAAAGAGCAAAUAAUCAAAAAAUAAUUCGUAGUCUUGUUUGGUUUUAAACUACAGUAUGCUUGGCUGCCUCACACUACACUCUCAAUAUUUAGGCAAAUACAGUAGGACAAAUUUUCUCUGUGCAUUCAAUAAACUGAUCUGCUGACACUGUCCUCUUACAACUCCCUGAGUUUUUCAUGUGUAUCACCUGAUCAGAAAAAAAAAUUAGUUCAGAGAGAACAUCAUUUCUGCGAUCCAGUACUAUUUCAGACAGACCCAAAUCCCCCGGUCAAUGGAAAGCUUUUACUGUUGAACUUGGUUGUUUAUAUGGAUGAACCAGGCUCAGUAAAUAAAUGUUGGAAAGGUUGAGGAUGAAAUUCGAAAAGAAAAUCAAAGUUUGAUGAUAAAAGUGGGAAUUUCUUUUUUUGUAAUUACUGUUGUGAUUCUGCAUUUAUUGAGGUCCAUUAGGAAAGCUUAUGAUGGCUCUUGAGUAUAGAUUGCUAUUUCUGUCUAGCUUCACAUUUAAAAUUAUAAUACUCUCCCUUUUAACCUUUCUCUCCCUCUGAAGCUUGGGUUCUGCUUUCAAAGGUAAGCAGUGGAUGCUCACAUAGACCAAAGUGAUUUGCUUUUAAGGUUAUCCUUGUUUUGAAACAUAAUUACCAGCAACCCUUCUGUUAUUAUUAGCGAUAAAAAGACAAGUGAUCUAUAUCACAUGGAAAACUAAAAUGUGAUUGAUACUUGCAUUACUGCUUUUCUGUUCUGUUUUAUUCAAAAGGCAGAGCAAUAUAUAGAAUAUCUAGCAACAUCGAUUGUUGGAGACAGA
ensembl:lncRNA